GGGAGGCAACCAGUAGGGAAUUUUUCCCCCAAUGGAAGAAAAUUCUGACGGAAGCAACCCCCGCUUGAAGUGAUGAAGGCCUUUCGGGUUCGUAAAACUUCUGUUGUUAGGGAAGAACCAAUGGUUAGUUGAAUAAGCUGGCACCUUGACCGGUACCUACCCAGAAAGCCACGGCUAAUUACGUGCCCAGCAGCCGCGGUAAUACGUAGGUGGCAAGCGUUAUCCGGAAUUAUUGGGCGUAAAGCGCGCGCAGGUGGUUUCUUAAGUUUGAUGUGAAAGCCCCACGGCUCAACCGUGGAGGGUCAUUGGAAACUGGGAGACUUGAGUGCAGAAGAGGAAAGUGGAAUUCCAUGUGUAGCGGUGAAAUGCGUAGAGAUAUGGAGGAACACCAGUGGCGAAGGCGACUUUCUGGUCUGUAACUGACAUUGAGGCGCGAAAGCGUGGGGAGCAACCAGGAUUAGAUACCUUGGUGGUCCACGCGGUAAACGAUGAGUGUUAAGUGUAAGAGGGUUUCCGCCCUUUAGUGCUGAAGUUAACGCAUUAAGCACUCCGCCUGGGGAGUACGGCCGCAAGGCUGAAACUCAAAGGAAUUGACGGGGGCCCGCACAAGCGGUGGAGCAUGUGGUUUAAUUGGAAGCAACGCGAAGACCCUUACCAGGUCUUGACAUCUUUUGACAACCCAAGAGAUAGGGUUUUUCUUUGGGGAGCAGAGUGCCAGGUGGUGCAUGGUGGUGGUCAGCUGGUGUCGUGAGAUGUUGGGUUAAGUCCCGCAACGAGCGCAACCCUUGAUUUUAGUUGCCAUCAUUAAGUUGGGCACUUUAAGGUGACUGCCGGUGACAAACCGGAGGAAGGUGGGGAUGACGUCAAAUCAUCAUGCCCCUUAUGCCCUGGGCUACACACGUGCUCCAAUGGACGGUACAAAGAGCUGCAAGACCGCGAGGUGGAGUUAAUUUCAUAAACCCGUUCUCAGUUCGGAUUGUAGGCUGCAACUCGCCUCCAUGAAGCGGGAAUCGUUGGUAAUCGCGGAUCAGCAUGCCGCGGUGAAUACGUUCCCGGCCCUGGUACACACCGCCCGUCACACCACGAGAGUUGUACCACCCGAAGUCGGUGGGGUACCCUUUGGAGCCAGCCGCCUAAG
rnacentral:rRNA from 1 species